ACUUUCCUGGAAUGUUCGACACUCUUGAAUUUUUGAACCUACAAUACUUUAAACGGGAUUCCUAUAUCUGUGUUUGGAUGCCGGGCCAUCCCUGCUGACUUGUCAGUACAAUGGAAACAUUGCAAAUGGAAGGCAGAAGAGCACAUGCGGUCGCCCACCUAGCAUAUGCUAGGAGUCAAAAAUCAGGAACCGGCAUUUUGGGAAGUAA
rnacentral:other from 1 species